GACGAACGCUGGCGGCGUGCCUAACACAUGCAAGUCGAGCGGAGUUAAUUGAAAGCUUGCUUUUGAUUAACUUAGCGGCGGACGGGUGAGUAACGCGUGGGCAACCUGCCUGUUACAGGGGGAUAACACAGGGAAACUUGUGCUAAUACCGCAUAAUACAACGAGAAAGCAUUUUCUUGUUGUCAAAGGAGCAAUCCGGUGACAGAUGGGCCCGCGUCCAAUUAGCUAGUUGGUGGUGUAACGGACCACCAAGGCGACGAUUGGUAGCCGAACUGAGAGGUUGGUCGGCCACAUUGGGACUGAGACACGGCCCAGACUCCUACGGGAGGCAGCAGUGGGGAAUAUUGCACAAUGGGGGAAACCCUGAUGCAGCAACGUCGCGUGAAGGAUGAAGGUUUUCGGAUUGUAAACUUCUUUAGUCAGGGACGAAUAAAUGACGGUACCUGAAGAAUAAGCCACGGCUAACUACGUGCCAGCCGCCGCAGUAA
rnacentral:rRNA from 1 species